rnacentral:rRNA from 1 species
GAUGAACGCUAGCGGCAGGCUUAAUACAUGCAAGUCGAGGGGUAACAGGGGUAGCAAUACCUGCUGACGACCGGCAAACGGGUGCGUAACACGUACAGAACCUUCCUUCGAGUGGGGGAUAGCCCGAAGAAAUUCGGAUUAAUACCUCAUAGUAUUAUCGGGUGGCAUCAUUUGAUAAUUAAAGAUUUAUUGCUUGAAGAUGGCUGUGCGUAUGAUUAGGUAGUUGGUUGAGGUAACGGCUCACCAAGCCUUCGAUCAUUAACCGGUGUGAGAGCACGACCGGUCACACGGGCACUGAGACACGGGCCCGACUCCUACGGGAGGCAGCAGUAAGGAAUAUUGGUCAAUGGACGCAAGUCUGAACCAGCCAUGCCGCGUGAAGGAUUAAGGCCCUCUGGGUUAGUAAACUUUCUUUUAUGUGGGAAGAAAUGCAUUCUUUUCUAAGGUGUUUGACGGUACCAUAGG